UUUGGAAUUUUGGUCAAUGGGGGAAACCCUGAACCAGCGACGCCGCGUGGACGAAGAAGGCCUUCGGGUUGUAAAGUCCUUUUGUUGGGGAAUAAUUUUGAAUGUACCCAAAGAAUAAGAGGUUGCUAACUCUGUGCCAGCAGCAGCGGUAAUACAGAGACCUCGAGCGUUAUCCGGAAUCAUUGGGCGUAAAGCGUACCGAUAGGUGGUUUUGAAAGUCAGAGGUGAAAUUACGAAGCUCAACUUCGUAACUGUCCUUUGAAACUUCAAGACUAGAGGGGCAAAGAGGAAGCUGGAACAAACGGUGUAGUAGUGAAAUGCGUUGAUAUCGUUUGGAACACCAAUAGCGUAGGCAGGCUUCUGGGUGCCACCUGACACUGCUAGGACGAAAGCGUGGGGAGCGAAUGGG
rnacentral:rRNA from 1 species